rnacentral:lncRNA from 1 species
CGGCGAGUCCGACGGCUUUCGAGGAAUUUUCCGGCCAAACCACGGCGAGUUAGACGUCGUGUGAGGUACCAUUCUCUUCGUCUCUUCAAGGGCUACAACUUUCAUUUUGUCUUGCUUGAUUUCGUUGAGUAUUGACAAAGUUAUGGCCAUUUAAAGUUGGGUGGUUUUCCGGCCGAAAAUUCCGACCUUCUCCUUCGACAAACCCAGGCCAUCCGGCCUUUCCCUCUCCCUCGGGCCUUAGGCCCGUGUUGCCUUAGCCCAGUACCCUAGCCCAUUCAGUUUUUAUUUUUAGUUAUAUGUUUUUAAAACCCAAAGGGCUUGGGCCCUAGUUUUGGUUGGCCUUGGGCCGGUUUUCAACCAAGGGCUUAAAGCCCUGAUUUCUGUAGGAGGCCUUAGGGCCUUGUGUAGUGUGUGUGUGUGUGUGUUUAUAGUAUAUGUAUGUGUUUGGGCUAUAUGUAUGUGUUUGGGCUUAAACCCAAACCCCUUUCCUAACCCUAAACCAUUUUAACCCAAAACCUUAGAAAUCCAAACCACCCAUUUUAACCCUAAACCCUUUUAACCUUAGAACCCUAAAUUCAAAACCCAAUAAAUCCUAAUCCUAUUUAACCUAAACCCUAAUCCGGAUUUCAAGCCUAAAACCCGUUAGACCUAAUUUGACCGUUGACCUCCGGUUAACAUUGACUUUAGAGUUGACUUUUCGGGUUUUCGUCCGGGACCCUUCUUAGGGUAAUUCGACGUUCUGAAUCCGUUUCCAACGUCCGUUUUCCCAAAUCCAAUUGCUAUUAUAUAGUUUUAUUAAUUGGACCCUUUAUGUGCUUAGGGGCAAUUAUUGGUGACGUUAGUUUGCGUGGCUCUUCGGCGGCUAAGUACUGUGAGUGGACCCCUUCAAAAGCAUGUUUUAAAUAGUAGAAAUGCAUACAUGAAAUGCAUGAUUUAAUGAUUACGUUUUAUGAAACGUUUUGAGAUAACAUGCUUACUGAGGCUACCUUGAAUUAUUACUAUUUUUCCUAUAACCCGUGUUCUUAUAGAAUAUCUGAUGGAUGACGAUAUGAUAUUUAGAACAUGUUUCGAACACCUCUUUAUAGUAUAGAUGAUGAAUGACUUUAUACUAUGAAGUUGUUUUUCAAUAUAUGUAUGUUCAAUGGUUUUGUACUUACCUAGUGGUCCUUUCCGCUACGGGACGUAGGGAUAGAUUCCGGUCCGUCCCGGGCGACGGUUUGGUGUUGGCAUAGGGCCUGGAGUGUGUUUCCUCUGGCUAUUUAGCACAGGGACGGGGAGCCGGCAUGGGGCCUGAAGUGUAUUUUCCUCUGACUGUCUGCUCAGAGACGGGGAGCCGGCAUGGGGCCUGCAGGUUAUCGGACAAUUCACUAGUGAUUAUUAUAUAUGAGUUAUGAUUUGAGAUACUGCACAUCAUGCUAGGUUUCGGAAAACCUAUGUUCAUCAUUAUAUAUUUGUUUUCAUAAACCUGGGGGUUAGUAUAUUGAUAACUGUUUUUAUUAUAUAUAUAUCAACUUGGUCCACUCAUGUUUGUUUUGCGCCCCCUUCAGGAUUUAGGAUCGAGGCGUACAAUCCCGACAAUCAAGGCACUUCCGCAUCGGCAUCUUCGAGUCCUCUUGGUGUGGGACUCAUUCUUUUAUUCAUUCCAUUUUAUAUCAUUCUUUUAGUGUUCUAGUUAGUUGUAUGCUCUGAACACGUUCCUUAAAUGCAUAUUCCUUAUUCUUUUACA